UCCAUCAUCAAAUCCAUCAGAUCCAUCAUCAGAUCCAUCAUCAGAUCCAUCAUCAGAUCCAUCAUCAAAUCCAUCAGAUCCAUCUACUCGAAGGCCUUUUAUCAUCGGAGUGGUUGUGUUCUCUCUGACUCUGCUGUUGGUGAUCACUGCCCUUUACUUCUACUGUAAGGCCAGCAGGCGUCAGAAGCCAGCCAGACAGAAGAACAUUGUGCUGGUUUCUUAUAAGCAACUUGUUUCUGAAGCUGAAGGAGGGCUGACUGAAGAGGACGGAGUGGAGAGAGCAGAGUAACACCUCCAAGGAUCUCAUCUCCAUGUAGUGGAGUAAAAAGUACAAUAUUUCUCUCUGAAAUGUAGCGGGGUAGUAAUAGAAAGUGGCAUGAAAAGAAAAGAUUCAAGUAAAGUACAAGAACCUCACAUUUGGACUUAAGAACAGUACUGGAGUAAAUGUACAUAGUUACAUUCAACAACACUGAGUAUCCUGGGUGUUCCUGAAGCUGAAGGAGGGCUGACUGAAGAGGACGGAGCACAGGGAGCAGAGUAGCACCUCCUCAUCUCCCAUCCAGAAAGUUUUUAAAACACAAUCCAUUUAAAUAAGAAGGCAGGAAUUAUUAUGUAACAUUUCUCUCAGCUCCAAGCCCACUAGUUCCUAUUAAAGGCGUAAAAACACCUCAGAAAUAUAAAGUUUAUUUUAGAAAUUAGACUUUAAAGCAGGAAUACUGAAAUCAAGCAGCCAGCACAAUACAAACCGACCAAAGACACACCAACCCAGGCCGAUCGGUAACGAUGCUGGACAAUUAAUGUUAAAGAUUAAAUUAAAAUAAACACUGACACAUGUACUCUGCAUUCUGUAUUAUAAUAUUCGGUGUGCAAAUUAAAUUUGGUGACAAUUGAACAAUUGAAUAACGCCUACGGGCACUAGAGGGUGCCGCCACUAUAAACGUUAACAUAGGUCAGAAUGAUGCUGGAACAAAUAACCUAUGUGGCCAUUUUCAGGAAAGGACAGUCUCAUGUUAAAAAGCAGAGGUGGUUUUUACACCAAUUCUGUGCUUAUUUCAUAAGAAUUUAGCUUAUUUGUGUACUUCAGCAAUUGAAGCAUUUACUUUUGUAAUUUGUAAGAAAGUUUUAAUAUAUUUCUGUAAUUAAGAAUGUUAUUACUUUUGCACUUAAAGGAUUUUAAUUGAAA